AUGAAGGGUGGGAGCGGCUACCACGCGUUGUACAUCUUCGACAUGAUGAAGAAAAUUGUCCAUGUGAUGGAUCCUAAGAGGGCGCACUACAAUGUUGUUGAGCUCGAAAGGAAGCACACAGGAUGCAUCGACAGGCUCCUGUUCGCACUGUGCAAGUGCAUAGAGAGGUUUUUCGAUGGGUGGCAUGUUAGAGAGGAUGAAUUCACAAGAAAAGCGCACCGCAUGAUGCAUGAGCCAUCCUCAAGCAAUGACUCCACCUUCUACAACAUUCACUUCAUGUGGUCGUUUGAUGGUGAAUACAUGCAGAAAGAGAUCUGGCAGGACCAGCUGACGCCGUUCAGACAGCAACUCAUGAGAAUGGUUCUCACCCUGCCCGGAAACAGAGCGCUGCCUCCAGAGGACGUGGUGGACCCUGACAUGUGA
rnacentral:rRNA from 1 species